rnacentral:rRNA from 1 species
AACGAACGCUGGCGGCAGGCCUAACACAUGCAAGUCGAACGCUCCGCAAGGGAGUGGCGCACGGGUGAGUAACACGUGGGAACCUACCUUCUGGUACGGAACAACCAAGGGAAACUUUGGCUAAGACCGUAUACGACCUCCGGGUGAAAGAUUGAUCGCCGGAAGAGGGGCCCGCGUCCGAUUAGGUAGUUGGUGAGGUAACGGCUCACCAAGCCUUCGAUCGGUAGCUGGUCUGAGAGGAUGACCAGCCACACUGGGACUGAGACACGGCCCAGACUCCUACGGGAGGCAGCAGUGGGGAAUAUUGGACAAUGGGCGCAAGCCUGAUCCAGCCAUGCC